ACUCAAAUGAAUUGACGGGGACUUGCACAAGCGGUGGAUGAUGCGGCUCAAUUCGAUGACAAACGAAGAACCUCACCAGGGUUUGAAAUUCUACUGUAAGCCUUAGGAAACUUUGGCCCCCGCAAGGCAGUAGUUCAGGUGAUGCAUGGUCGUCGUCAGUUCGUGGCUUGAGUUGUUCCCUUCAGUGGGGUAACGAACGCAACCCUCGUUGCCUGUUUUAUAUGUCAGGCGAGACUGCCCCCUCACGGGGGAGGAAGGUGAGGAUGACGCCAGAUCAGCAUGUCCCUCUGAUACCCUGGGCUGCACGCAUCAUACAAUGCACGUGACAACGAGAAGCAAUACCGUAAGGUGGAGCAAAUCUUUAUAAACACGUGCCCAGUUCGGAUUGAGGGCUGCAACUCGCCCUCAUGAAGCCGGAAUCGCUAGUAAUCGCGGGUCAGCUAUACCGCGGUGAAUACGUUCUCAAGUCUUGUACACACCGCCCGU
rnacentral:rRNA from 1 species